rnacentral:rRNA from 1 species
GACGAACGCUGGCGGCGUGCUUAACACAUGCAAGUCGAACGGAAAGGCCCUGCUUUUGUGGGGUGCUCGAGUGGCGAACGGGUGAGUAACACGUGAGUAACCUGCCCUUGACUUUGGGAUAACUUCAGGAAACUGGGGCUAAUACCGGAUAGGAGCUCCUGCUGCAUGGUGGGGGUUGGAAAGUUUCGGCGGUUGGGGAUGGACUCGCGGCUUAUCAGCUUGUUGGUGGGGUAGUGGCUUACCAAGGCUUUGACGGGUAGCCGGCCUGAGAGGGUGGCCGGCCACAUGGGGACUGAGGUACGGCGCAGACUCCUACGGGAGGCAGCAGUGGGGAAUAUUGCACAAUGGGCGGAAGCCUGAUGCAGCAACGCCGCGUGCGGGAUGACGGCCUUCGGGUUGUAAACCGCUUUCGCCUGUGACGAAGCGUGAGUGACGGUAAUGGGUAAAGAAGCACCGGCUAACUACGUG